CAAAGGUGUAAAAAACAGAAAUUUAGGCCAAUUAGUCAAAAAAAUGCUAAGCAAAAAAUCUAUGAAAAUCCUGUUUUUCAUUCAGGAAAUUGACCGAAAAUCGUUGUCCGUUUUUCGAUCUUUUGCAGUAAGUGCUGUAAUUUUGUUUAAGUUUAAAAAAUAAUCAUAUUUGUUAUAAAAUUAUAAUUUAUUGGCAUAUUUCUUCCAUUUCAGCCAUCCUUUGAAGUGUUUACACCUCAAAAUCAUAAAACGGCGAAAUUGUGUCCCCGGCGAAUAUGGGCCCCCCACUCUAUACCCAUCGAGUUUACGUCAAAUGUUCGAGAAAAAAAACCUUGUGAAUUCUUUUGUUCUAAAAGAAAAAAAAUCCCUUUUAAGAACGUCAAUACGCAGUUUU
rnacentral:lncRNA from 1 species